rnacentral:rRNA from 1 species
GACGAACGCUGGCGGCGUGCUUAACACAUGCAAGUCGAACGAAGUGGCGAACGGGUGAGUAACGCUUAAUCAACCUGCACUUCAGAGGGGGACAACAGUUGGAAACGACUGCUAAUACCGCAUACUGAAGAAGGGGCUUGCGUUUGAUUAGCUAGUUGGAAGGGUAACGGCCCACCAAGGCGAUGAUCAGUAGCCGGUCUGAGAGGAUGAACGGCCACAUUGGGACUGAGACACGGCCCAGACUCCUACGGGAGGCAGCAGUGGGGAAUCUUCGGCAAUGGAGGAAAGUCUGACGGAGCAACGCCGCGUGAGUGAUGACGGCCUUCGGGUUGUAAAGCUCUGUUAAUCGGGACGCGGUACCGGAAUAGAAAGCCACGGCUAACUACGUGCCAGCAGCCGCGGUAAUAC